rnacentral:lncRNA from 1 species
AUAAACUUCCUUGUCCUACCUCCUCAUCUUUAAUAGUGCUCAAUGAAGUUCUUGAUUCCUUUUUCUGAGAUUGUGGAAAAUCAUUGAUAGCGUGACUUUUCCUUUUGGGGCAGAAUCUUCUAAGAGUAGGACCAAGGGUAGCGUCUUGAAUCUAGCGUGUGAAGUAUUUCUAGAUUCAUUCUCAAUGUGAAAUUUGGCUCCUUUGUCUUCCCAAUUAUUUGGUCUUGAGUCUUCCACUGAUUUCUCGUACUUGACUCAUUUCCUUUCCUUCCUUGUAUGCUUGAGAGUCUCUUGCUUGUUUGAUUGAUUUCCUUUCCUUCCUUGUAUUCCUUUGAUGGGCAGAUUUGAAUAUCAUAGUCAUUGUCUCUUUGAUAUGCUAGAUUGAUUUUCUUUCCUUCCUUGUAUUCUUGAGAGCCGUUGCUUUUUAAUUCUCUUAUGCCUCCUUAGAUUUGAUUAGUGAAUCUGCAUACAUAGUAAAUUUACAUUAGCCAAGGCGUUUAGUCAUUAAUCAUCAUUAAAAUUCUAAACCUGACAAAAAUAUGUUUUGCCUAUGAGGCACGAAUUGCAGAGUAUCUCAUAAGUUAGAUGUUGUGAAUUAGUGCAAAAUAUUACCCUUGCGGCAUAACUUAUGAACCAACAAUAUUCGAUGAACAGAGUAACUGUUCUUCAACGUUCACCACCUUUUUGCUAACAAAUUUCAAUCUACCUUCCUCAAUUCUUUACCGAAUAUACUAAAAUUUGAACCAGAGAUUCCUAAUCACAACCCCAGCAAAUCCUAACGAUAAUUUUGGAUCAAACUUCAAUAACUCAUAGACUCAACUGUGCAUUCUUCAAAGCUUCAAUCCCAAUACUGAUGAAAUUCUGUUUCUUCGAUAAAAUUCGCUCAAAUCAAUAUUAAAAUAAUAAUCUAAAUAUCAAGAAAUAACACUCACUGAUUUUCAGCCACAAAGAACUUCAAUUUGUAGAACCUAGAUUUGAAAUUCUCUAUCUUCGAUGUUUCUCUUCUUCUUCGUCUUUUUAUCUUUUGCUAUUUAGAUCAUGCUUCUGUUGCUUUUGGGAUGUGAGGGUGUUUUUAUC